UUCUUUAUUCACCAAGAGCUUGUAACACUCUAAAGAGAAAGAAAAAAUUGAAAUCGCAUCAUAUGACCCCCUUUAAAUCACAAUAAUACCAUGAUGUAUGAAUUCUUUGGCAUUUCAUAAUAUAUUUUGUUUAAAUAUCAUGUAAAAAUGGACCAUGUAUUUUUGAUGACAUUUGUCAUAUUUCACCACUAAGUCAGUUUGCACAGAGAAAAUGAAGCCUUUAGGACCAUGAAUUGAUGUUUUACUUUAUUAUUAUUUUCAUGACAAUGUUGUCAUGAAUUAUUUUCAACACAUAGUUGCUGUUAAAACAGCAU
rnacentral:lncRNA from 1 species